rnacentral:rRNA from 1 species
UACAGAGGUCCCAAGCGUUGUUCGGAUUCACUGGGCGUAAAGGGUGCGUAGGCGGUCGGGUAAGUCUGAUGUGAAAUCUCACAGCUUAACUGUGAAACUGCAUUGGAUACUAUCCGGCUAGAGGAAUGGAGGGGAGACUGGAAUACUUGGUGUAGCAGUGAAAUGCGUAGAUAUCAAGUGGAACACCAGUGGCGAAGGCGCGUCUCUGGACAUUUCCUGACGCUGAGGCACGAAAGCCAGGGGAGCAAACGGG